UACGGAGGGUGCGAGCGUUGUUCGGAAUCACUGGGCGUAAAGCGCGUGUAGGCGGCCCACUAAGUCUGAUGUGAAAGCCCGGGGCUCACCCCCCGGAAGUGCAUUGGAAACUGGUGGACUCGAGUCCCGGAGAGGAGAGUGGAAUUCCUGGUGUAGCGGUGAAAUGCGUAGAUAUUGGGAGGAACACCAGUGGCGAAGGCGGCUCACUGGACCGGUACUGACGCUGAUGCGCGAAGCGUGGGGAGCAAACAGG
rnacentral:rRNA from 1 species